rnacentral:rRNA from 1 species
UACAGAGGGUGCAAGCGUUAAUCGGAAUUACUGGGCGUAAAGCGCACGUAGGCGGCUUUCUAAGUCAGGGGUGAAAUCCUGGAGCUCAACUCCAGAACUGCCUUUGAUACUGGAGAGCUUGAGUCCGGGAGAGGUGAGUGGAACUCCGAGUGUAGAGGUGAAAUUCGUAGAUAUUCGGAAGAACACCAGUGGCGAAGGCGGCUCACUGGCCCGGUACUGACGCUGAGGUGCGAAAGCGUGGGGAGCAAACAGG